rnacentral:rRNA from 1 species
UUGGAGGGCAAGUCUGGUGCCAGCAGCCGCGGUAAUUCCAGCUCCAAUAGCGUAUAUUAAAGUUGUUGCAGUUAAAAAGCUCGUAGUUGAAUUUCGGGGUUCUACCGUUGGUCGGGCUAUUGUCUGUACUGGCGUGUAGAAUUUCUACCUUCUGGGGAACUAUCAUGUUAUUAAUUUAGCGUGGUAGGAAACCAGGACCUUUACCUUGAAAAAAUUAGAGUGUUCAAAGCAGGCUUAUGUCUGAAUACAUUAGCAUGGAAUAAUAAAAUAGGACGGUGGUCCUGUUUUGUUGGUUUCUGAAUCACCGUAAUGAUUAAUAGGGAUAGUUGGGGGCAUUAGUAUUCAAUUGUCAGAGGUGAAAUUCUUGGAUUUAUUGAAGACUAACUACUGCGAAAGCAUUUGCCAAGGAUGUUUUCAUUAAUCAAGGACGAAAGUUAGGGGAUCGAAGACGAUCAGAUACCGUCGUAGUCUUAACCAUAAACUAUGCCGACUAGGGAUCGGACGAUGUUAACUUUUCUUGACUCGUUCGGCGCCUUACGGGAAA